UACAGAGGUCUCAAGCGUUGUUCGGAAUUACUGGGCGUAAAGGGAAUGUAGGUGGUGACGUAAGUCAGAUGUGAAAGCCCCGGGCUUAACCCGGGAAGUGCAUUUGAUACUGCGUUGCUAGAGUGCGGAAGAGGAGAGCGGAAUUCCAGGUGUAGGGGUGAAAUCCGUAGAUAUCUGGAGGAAUACCGAUGGCGAAGGCAGCUCUCUGGUCCGUAACUGACACUGAGAUUCGAAAGCGUGGGUAGCAAACAGG
rnacentral:rRNA from 1 species